AGUGAACGCUGGCGGUAGGCCUAACACAUGCAAGUCGAACGGCAGCACAGUAAGAGCUUGCUCUUACGGGUGGCGAGUGGCGGACGGGUGAGGAAUACAUCAGAAUCUACUUUUUCGUGGGGGAUAACGUAGGGAAACUUACGCUAAUACCGCAUACGACCUACGGGUGAAAGCAGGGGAUCUUCGGACCUUGCGCGAUUGAAUGAGCCGAUGUCGGAUUAGCUAGUUGGCGGGGUAAGGGCCCACCAAGGCGACGAUCCGUAGCUGGUCUGAGAGGAUGAUCAGCCACACUGGAACUGAGACACGGUCCAGACUCCUACGGGAGGCAGCAGUGGGGAAUAUUGGACAAUGGGCGCAAGCCUGAUCCAGCCAUACCGCGUGGGUGAAGAAGGCCUUCGGGUUGUAAAGCCCUUUUGUUGGGAAAGAAAAGCAGCAGGUUAAUACCCCGCUGUUCUGACGGUACCCAAAGAAUAAGCACCGGCUAACUUCGUG
rnacentral:rRNA from 1 species